rnacentral:lncRNA from 1 species
AAGUUAAUGAUUUCUUGUUGGUCAAUUAUCAGUUGAGAAAAAAACCAACCUUCCAUGUGUGUUAUAGGUUUGGCGAUGGAUCCCUCUCUCGGCACAAGUUUCAGCCUAGUGUUGAAAUAUGCUGCUGAAAGCAGAGAUGAUUGUGUUUCCCAGAAAAAUUUCAUUAUUACAACUGACAAGGUUAAUGUAUGGUAAAACGUAAGCUAUUUUUUCUCAUCUAUACUGAUUAAAUGUCCUAGGACCACAAAGAUGAAUUUGACAAAGCUCGUGAGCACCUGGUGUUACUAUAGCCAGUUUGGACUUAAGAAGGAAUGGACUUAUUCAAUUUUUGUAUCUUUGUCCAUUAAUGUGCAUUAAAGUUUCAGAAAUAUGUGCAUCAUUUGUAAAAUACAAGUUUUGUAAUCCAAAGUAAUAUAUCUACUUUGUUUUUGGAAUUUUUUUAUGUGUUUUAUAUUAAUAUAAGAAACUGGUCUGAGAAAUCUUCUCAACUAUUAUUAUAAGUAACAGUUGAAUAUUUUUAUCUUCAACUACCAAGUUUUAUUUUUGAUUUUUAUAGUCUGUUAUAAAAUAUUUUACAUUAAUUAGUAAAUAUUAAGAUUUUUUAAUAUAUUUUAACAUAUAAUUUCCUCCUGCCACUCCCUUUUUAAAACCAUGAGUUUUUUUUAAAUGGACACGAUUUUUUCUUUUUGAACUUUGUCUCAUAUUCUCAUAUCCCAGAAAUAUUUUAGUUGUGACUCAUUUGGCAGUGAACCAAGGGAGAGGCAGGGAAUCCCCUUGGAAUUUGCUCUUUUAAAAAAGCUACAGAGGGAUUUCUUCAGACUCCUGAAUACCAGAAAGAUUUGACUUUUGACUUUUAACAUUACUUUUUACUUAAUAAAAUGUGUGGCCUUGCAAGUAACUAUUUUGAAAUUAUCUUAGCCAUACAUUUGAAUAACCCUGAUAAUAUAUAUAAAUCUAGUGUUAGUUUUUCACUUGUACUUAACCAAGCCUCUUUUAUAACAUGUAGUUGAUUAUGUUUGUGUUUUUUUCCUUAAUUUUUAGUAGGCAUACCUCAUUUUAUUGCACUUUGUUGCACUUUGCACAUACUACAGUUUUUACUAAUUGAAGAUUUGUGGCAACAAAGCGAGUCAGUGUUGGCAAGGAUGUGAUGAACCUGGUCCACUUAUACCUAUGGUGAAGAUACAAUUUAUACAUACCUCUUGGGAAAAAUUAGUCCAGUAAAUGUUUGCUUUGGAUGCCACACAAUCUAAAGUAGGUCCCGGUUGUUACUCUCAUAAUAUUCUUUUUUGCCUAUAUUGCAGUAGUUUAUCUGACUUACUAUCUUUCUUCUUGAAUAGACUAUAAACUAUGCAAGGUCAGGAACAUAUUUGUUUUGUUCACAAUUAUGUAACAAACACCUAACUUGGUACUGCUGUCUUGUAGUUGCUUAGUAAAUAUAAGUUGGAUGUAUGAAUAAAUGAAUAUCUGG